GCUGGGCUUGGUACCGUGAGCCUGUAACCCGAGUGGGAGCAUUAAGAUGGUGGAACAAUUGGCCUUGCCCUGAAGGCUGGGCUUGGUGUGCUAUCUUCUGGCCUGCCCGUUCCAAGGGGUGAGUUGAUUGAGGAGUCUCAGCGAAGGCGGAGGCUUCUCUGUCUUUAGAUCGGAGGGUACCGCAUUAGGCUGGCUUCACAGAGCAGCGAAAACCUCCUCUUUGCAGUGGAAGGAUAAUGGGCCAGUGCAUCCCCACUACUGCCUGAUGGGCUGCCUAAAUUGAACUGCCAUCUUU
rnacentral:SRP_RNA from 1 species